rnacentral:rRNA from 1 species
AUUGAACGCUGGCUGCCGGCCUAACACAUGCAAGUCGAACGAGUGGCGGACGGGUGAGUAAUGUCUGGGAAACUGCCUGAUGGAGGGGGAUAACUACUGGAAACGGUAGCUAAUACCGCAUACCAUCGGAUGUGCCCAGAUGGGAUUAGCUAGUAGGUGGGGUAAAGGCUCACCUAGGCGACGAUCCCUAUCUGGGCUGAGAGGAGGACCAGCAACAUGGGAACUGAGACACGGUCCAGACUCCGACGGGAGGCAGCAGUGGGGAAUAUGGCACAAUGGGCGCAAGCCUGAUGCAGCCAUGCCGCGUGUAGGAAGAAGGCCUUCGGGUUGGAAAGUACUUUCAGCGGGGAGGCGUUACCCGCAGAAGAAGCACCGGCUAACUCCGUGCCAGCAGCCGCGGUAAUAC